rnacentral:tRNA from 1 species
GAGCCAGUAGCUCAGCUGGUAGAGCAGCGGCCUUUUAAGCCGUUGGUCCUGGGUUCGAAUCCCAGCUGGCUCA